rnacentral:lncRNA from 1 species
UUCUCUAGACUUAAUUAAGUGUAAUUUCUAUGACUCCUGCAGUUAUAAUGUACUAAUAGCAGUCUGAGGAUCUUAAAAGUCAAAAGUCCUAACAGGCACCAAGUAGCUAGGUUAGGUGAUUAAAAUCAGAUUUAAGGGCAAAGUAGCAUUGGGAGCUCUGGCCAUCUGGAGAACAGGUGCUCCCUUAGAAGGAGAAAAUGCUACUCAGCUUCCAGCUAGUCACAUAGGCGUAUAGGCAGUAUUGCCUUAUCUGAUAUUUUAGGAAGCCAAGAUGCUUAAUUCUUCUAUUGACUUUGUAAACAACUCUUCUAGACAAAGAAAGUGUAUCAGUGGGCGAGAUCCACUGGAUGGGCCACUGAUUUGCCCCUCAAAUAGUAUAUUGUUUGAAUAACAACACUAAAAGUUCCAAAGGAUCAAAAAGGAAUAAAUUGUAUUCUUCGUAUUGUUCUAAGUUAGAAAACUGCUCAUAUGUUGUAGAACAUUCUUUAAUAAUGGAUAUACAAACAGAUUAACCAGAAUAUUACAUUUCUAAAAUAUUCACGUUAAUGAUUAUCUAGGUCAGUAAAUAGAGAGACAGGUGUUAGAAGCAAACUUUAGCUUUGCCUCAUUUUUCUCAGAUAACAAGCAAAAUAAUAGGAUGUUAUAUGGAAUUGUUGUAUAUAAUACCAUAAAGUUCUUAACAGAUACAAAAGGACGUCUGUAAUGGAUUUUAAGUGUCUAAGAGUGGGGUUACAUUAUAGAAAUGCUAAAUAAAUAUAAAUAAAUGGCAUUGCCCAUGUGAAAAACUAUGUUUUCUAUAUUUUAUAAUAUGACUACCGAGAUCAAGGGGAAAUUAAAUUAAGCUUUACUAGGAUUUCUAGAAAAUAGAAAACAGUUAACUUGAUUCUAAAAAUGGUUUUAAUAAAAGCUACUCUUUAAAAUGCAAAAUUAAGUAAUUAUUUUUAAUUGGUUUAGGAUUCGUAUGAUUUUAUAUAGUGAAUUAGGUUGAAUUUGAUACUUUUAGCUAGUAGUUUUGGAAUUUUGGAGAUACCAUUUAAUUUUCUGUGAAAGAGAGUGAUUUCAGUUUUAUUUUGACUCUGAUCAAAUGUGUGUCUCAAACAAAUGUGUUUGGCAUAUUAUAAUUAUAAAAUAGUAAUCAUUAUUAUUUUUAAUGAUAGAUAAGAUCUCAUAAAAAAAAACCCUUCCUUUUUCUGUUGGUCUAACAACUAUAAAUGGGAGUCAUAAUAUACUCCUCAUAUUUAUUUUUUAAAUGAUAAAGACCUUUUCUUACACUGUAAUAAAUUUUAUUAUAAAGCACUGCAUGAAUUUGGAGUAAUUCAAUAAUUGUAAGUAACAGCAAUAACUAUACUUUGUCACAGCUUUGCCACCUUUUUUUUUUUUGAUCUAGUCAUUCAAAUUUAUUUGUUCAAGUUUGUCAGCUUUAUCCAAAAUUGAUCACACUCUACGUGUUAAUAUUUAAAUUAUAUAAGUGAUAUAUAUAUGAGCAUGAUGGUAUGUAUAUUGGCAUAUUUUCUAUACUUUGCAGAUAUAAUCCAAUGCAUUCAAACAGGCUUGCAGUUUUAGAGUAAUGGAACUUUAAAUUUUUGUAGGAAUACGUGUUUUUGAAAGAAAAUUUUAUCUUUGAGAAUUUCUAAAGAAUGUAAUUAUGAGAAAAAUAAUCUUUACAUUUUCUAUUGAUUGGCUAUGUGGAGUAGUCUUCUGCUUUAACCAACAAAAACCAAAUAUAUUUAGAUAACUAUUUGGGAAAUUUUGUCUUCUCUUCUGAGAUAUCUACAUGGCCUUAUCAAAUUUCUGGCUUCCCUCAGGCUUCCCAAUAUCUACAUACAAUUAAAUAUCUAAAUGUAUUAUUUAAGGAAAUUCUUAAGUUAUUGAGUUGUUUUAUUGGGACAUUUAUAUUAUGAUUACAGAGAUUAUUUAGAAUCAUGUCAAGGGCACAGUAGGAAUGCAUAUCAGUUCUAGACAGACUAUCCUAUGAAUUUCCUUUGGCAUUGGCUAUUGAAGAAAAUUAGUAGAAGAAAUAAAUAAUGAGAAGCAAGUAAAAAAUACUUCCAGUGACUAAGAAAGUUAUCUCAGUGAUAGAAGAGGUUUUUUUUUUUAAACUCUAUUUUACCUGUUUAUUAUAAUAGAUAAGAAAUUUUAAAAUUUUAGAAUUUGUUAUGCAGCAUGAAAGAUACUUAUUACUAUAAAUAAAGAACUCUAUAAAGAAGACAUUAUGAGAAUUUCAUAGGAAAACAUUUGGAAUGAUUCACUUUAUUUCCAGUUGGUAAAAAUGUCCCUGUCUUCCCUUAUUCAGUAGAGUAAGAUUGUCUAAAUUUUUAAAGAUUAUUUUCAAAUUAAAACUAUGUUACUCAUUUUUGCUUACAUCUAAAUUUGAUUUUUCAGUGUUCUCUCUGAAACACAAUAUACAAUACAAAUAAAGCAUAUCUGUUCUGGCAGUUAGCUUCUAUUUGAUUGGUGUCUGAAUCAAGUGUUCCCACGUUGAAGUUGAAUACGGGCAGUUUAGCCCUUCUUGUCUGUCAUAUUGCUGCAGUCUUGCUCGAAAGAAAACCCAUGGUGACUGAUAAAUUAGUGUCCUAGAGCCCGCAAAAAUGGCACACUCUUAUCUGUUGCUUGAACAACAAAAGCAAAUACAUGUAUGGACAGAUAUUUUGAUUGAGAUUAACAUUCUGUCAUGUUUAAUUAAAGUUAUUUCAGAAUUCUGUUUUUACUUAAACAUAGUAAAGCUCUUGUAUUUUUAAACAAAUUUAAAGCAUAUUGUGAUAAGUAGUUAAUGUCCAGUAAUUUUUCUGGCACAUGUCUACAUGUUGUAGUAGAAACUGCAUUCAAUUGGGCAGAUUCUGGCUAUUAGUCUCUAUGAGACCUGGGCAAAGUAUUUUCAUUUCUCAGUUUUUUCACUUAAGUUGAGAGGAAGCCAGAUGAUCUUCAAGUGUCUUUUACCUAUUCAACUAGAUUUGUCAUCUUAAUUUUAGCUUUUAAGUAAUAUUUAGGGUGAACAUUUAAAAAUGUAAUCUAAACCCUAAAGAAUAUAAGCUGUAUCAUAAUUUACAGUUUGAACAAUGAAUGCUUAAUGUUUUUUGCUUUUACCCAAUGAUAAAGCAUAUUUAUAUUAUUAUUUCAAUGAGCCAUUUAAUUCGUCUAGUUUAAUUAUUGCUAAUUUCUUGAAAAAGUAUCUGGUAACUUUUUCAUUUGUGUUUUCUUUCUCCAUUGGAUAAUUUCGAGAUGUGUUUCUUGGCUAUGAUCUCUGAGAGUGAAGACAAUGUAUUAGUCAUUUCUGUGUCCAUCCCCCAAAAUAGUAAUUCAUUCUCACUGAGAAUUGUGUAUUGCCUGAGGUUAAAUAAAUAACUCAUUAACUUAAAAAGUUAAAGGUCAUUCUUACUCAGUCUUUCUGUUUAUUUUGUAACACAGACUGUACAAUCAAAUUAAGCAAUGAUUUUUAUUUAAAACUUUAAAAACAAGUUUUCUAGGGAAAAUAUUGGGGUAUUAGUCUUACAGUAGGCAGCAACAGUAUUAUAAAACUAAAAU